rnacentral:rRNA from 1 species
UGGGGAAUAUUGGACAAUGGGGGCAACCCUGAUCCAGCAAUGCCGCGUGUGUGAAGAAGGCCUGAGGGUUGUAAAGCACUUUCAGUGGGGAGGAGGAUGUUCUGGUUAAGAGCUGGGAUAUUGGACGUUACCCACAGAAGAAGCACCGGCUAACUCCGUGCCAGCAGCCGCGGUAAUACGGAGGGUGCGAGCGUUAAUCGGAAUUACUGGGCGUAAAGGGUGCGUAGGUUGUUUUGUAAGUUAUCUGUGAAAUCCCCGGGCUCAACCUGGGCAGGUCAGAUAAGACUGCGGGACUCGAGUAUAGGAGAGGGUAGUGGAAUUUCCGGUGUAGCGGUGAAAUGCGUAGAGAUCGGAAGGAACACCAGUGGCGAAGGCGGCUACCUGGCCUAAUACUGACACU